rnacentral:rRNA from 1 species
UACGAAGGGGGCUAGCGUUGCUCGGAAUCACUGGGCGUAAAGGGUGCGUAGGCGGGUCUUUUAAGUCAGGGGUGAAAUCCUGGAGCUCAACUCCAGAACUGCCCUUGAUACUGGCGAUCUCGAGUUCGGGAGAGGUGAGUGGAACUGCGAGUGUAGAGGUGAAAUUCGUAGAUAUUCGCAAGAACACCAGUGGCGAAGGCGGCUCACUGGCCCGAUACUGACGCUGAGGCACGAAAGCGUGGGGAGCAAACAGGAUUAGAUGACC